AUACAGGAAUAGCUGCCGAAGACAGCAGGUGCCGUGAGGCAUAAGGACAAAACGCCUGCCGAGGAAAGAUUCAUUCUUGCAAUUAUUAGGAUUGAUGAAGCCUCUCUGUCUAUGCAGAGAGGUUUUUUU
rnacentral:sRNA from 1 species